AUUGAACGCUGGCGGCAGGCCUAACACAUGCAAGUCGAGCGGAUGAAGGGAGCUUGCUCCUGGAUUCAGCGGCGGACGGGUGAGUAAUGCCUAGGAAUCUGCCUGGUAGUGGGGGAUAACGUCCGGAAACGGGCGCAAAUACCGCAUACGUCCUGAGGGAGAAAGUGGGGGAUCUUCGGACCUCACGCUAUCAGAUGAGCCUAGGUCGGAUUAGCUAGUUGGUGGGGUAAAGGCCUACCAAGGCGACGAUCCGUAACUGGUCUGAGAGGAUGAUCAGUCACACUGGAACUGAGACACGGUCCAGACUCCUACGGGAGGCAGCAGUGGGGAAUAUUGGACAAUGGGCGAAAGCCUGAUCCAGCCAUGCCGCGUGUGUGAAGAAGGUCUUCGGAUUGUAAAGCACUAUAAGUUGGGAGGAAGGGCAGUAAGUUAAUACCUUGCUGUUUUGACGUUACCAACAGAAUAAGCACCGGCUAACUUCGUG
rnacentral:rRNA from 1 species